rnacentral:misc_RNA from 1 species
CGUUGGUGAACCAGCGGAGGGAUCAUUACCGAGUACUAUAACUCAUAACCCUUUGUGAACCUUCAUACCUGUUGCUUCGGCGGCGCGCCUCCCGGGGCGUGCCCGCCGGCAUUAUCAGAAUCUCUGUUCGAACCCGACGAUACUUCUGAGUGUUCUAAGCGAACUGUUAAAACUUUCAACAACGGAUCUCUUGGCUCCAGCAUCGAUGAAGAACGCAGCGAAACGCGAUAUGUAAUGUGAAUUGCAGAAUUCAGUGAAUCAUCGAAUCUUUGAACGCACAUGGCGCCUUCCAGUAUCCUGGGAGGCAUGCCUGUCCGAGCGUCGUUUCAACCCUCGAGCCCCCGUGGCCCGGCGUUGGGGACCUGCCCAGGCAGUCCCCGAAAACCAGUGGCGGACCCGACGGGCCCUUCCUUUGCGUAGUAACAUCUGCCUCGCAUCGGGAGCCCCCGGGCUAUCCGGCCUCUAAACCCCCCUCAAGCCCGCUCCGGCGGCACC